rnacentral:rRNA from 1 species
UACCCGCUCCCCGAGUGGUGGGGACGCUUAUUGGGCCUAAAGCAUCCUUAGCCGGCUGGGUAAGUCCCCUGUUAAAUCCAGCGAUUCAAUCGCUGGACUGCGGGGGAUACUGCCCAGCUAGGGGGCGGGAGAGGCCGGCGGUAUUCCCGGGGUAGGGGUGAAAUCCUAUAAUCCCGGGAGGACCACCAGUGGCGAAGGCUGCCGGCGGGAACGCGCCCGACGGUGAGGGAUGAAAGCUGGGGGAGCGAACCGG